GGGGAAUAUUGGACAAUGGACCAAAAGUCUGAUCCAGCAAUUCUGUGUGCACGAUAAAGUUUUUCGGAAUGUAAAGUCCUUUCAGUUGGGACGAAGAACGUGACGGUACCAACAGGAGAAGCGACGGCUAAUGACGGGCCAGCAGCCGCGGUAAUACGUAUGUCGCAAGCGUUAUCCGGAUUUAUUGGGCGUAAAGCGCGUCUAGGUGGUUUGGUAAGUCUGAUGUGAAAAUGCGGGGCUCAACUCCGUAUUGCGUUGGAAACUGUCAAACUAGAGUACUGGAGAGGUGGGCGGAACUACAAGUGUAGAGGUGAAAUUCGUAGAUAUUUGUAGGAAUGCCGAUGGAGAAGUCAGCCCACUGGACAGAUACUGACGCUGAAGCGCGAAAGCGUGGGUAGCAAACA
rnacentral:rRNA from 1 species